rnacentral:rRNA from 1 species
CAGUAGCCACGGUAAAACGAAGGGUGCAAGCGUUACUCGGAAUUACUGGGCGUAAAGCGUGCGUAGGUGGUGGUUUAAGUCCGUUGUGAAAGCCCUGGGCUCAACCUGGGAAUUGCAGUGGAUACUGGGUCACUAGAGUGUGGUAGAGGAUAGUGGAAUUUCCGGUGUAGCAGUGAAAUGCGUAGAGAUCGGAAGGAACAUCUGUGGCGAAGGCGACUAUCUGGGCCAACACUGACACUGAGGCACGAAAGCGUGGGGAGCAAACAGGAUUAGAUACCCCCGUAGUCCCUGUCUCUUAUAA